rnacentral:rRNA from 1 species
UACGGGGGGGACAAGUGUUACUCAGCAUGACUGGGCGUAAAGGGUAUGUAGAUGGUUUUUUAACUUAGAAGUCAAAGACAAAAGCAGAAUUUUUGGGAGGCUUUUAAAACUGAAAAACUUGAGUUUAGCUGAGGAUACGCGGUAUUUGUGCUGUAGGGAACGUUACCCAGUGAUAACACAAGGACCAACAA